AGCUCCAAUAGCGUAUAUUAAAGUUGUUGCAGUUAAAAAGCUCGUAGUUGGAUUUCUGGGCUGAGCGACCGGUCCGCCGCUGUGCGGUGUGUACUCGGGUGCGACUCGGCUCAUCCUUGCAGGGAACAUUUCUCGGUCUUAACUGGUCGAGGGUGGGAAUUGCAUCAUUUACUGUAGAAAAAAUUAGAGUGUUUAAAGCAGGCUUAUGCUGUGAAUACAUUAGCAUGGAAUAAUAAGAUAGGACCUCGGGCUAUCUUGUUGGUUGGAAGUUCAAGGUAAUGAUUAAUAGGGAUAGUUGGGGGGUAUUCAUAUUUAAUUGUCAGAGGUGAAAUUCUUGGAUUUAUGAAAGAUGAACUU
rnacentral:rRNA from 1 species